rnacentral:rRNA from 1 species
CCUACGGGGGGCUGCAGUGGGGAAUAUUGCACAAUGGGCGCAAGCCUGAUGCAGCCAUGCCGCGUGUGUGAAGAAGGCCUUCGGGUUGUAAAGCACUUUCAGCGGGGAGGAAGGCGGUGAGGUUAAUAACCUCAUCGAUUGACGUUACCCGCAGAAGAAGCACCGGCUAACUCCGUGCCAGCAGCCGCGGUAAUACGGAGGGUGCAAGCGUUAAUCGGAAUUACUGGGCGUAAAGCGCACGCAGGCGGUCUGUCAAGUCGGAUGUGAAAUCCCCGGGCUCAACCUGGGAACUGCAUUCGAAACUGGCAGGCUAGAGUCUUGUAGAGGGGAGUAGAAUUCCAGGUGUAGCGGUGAAAUGCGUAGAGAUCUGGAGGAAUACCGGUGGCGAAGGCGGCCCCCUGGACAAAGACUGACGCUCAGGUGCGAAAGCGUGGGGAGCAAACAGGAUUAGAUACCCGUGUAGUC